rnacentral:lncRNA from 1 species
AUUUUAGGUUAAAAACAACGUCUUUCCAUAAACUUCUGCUAGGGUCUAUGAACCAGCCUUUGCUAGUUUGCACUUUUCUUUCGCAGCUUCCUCAUGGUGACUCUCAGCCUUAAUAGAAUUGAAGAGAGUCUUACCCUGGAUUAGGCUUUGACUUGAGGUAAUGUUGUGGCUGGUUUGGUCUUCUAUCCAGACCACUAACACUUUCUUCAUAUUAGCAGUAAGGCUGUUUCACUUUCUUAUCAUUUGUGUGUUUACUGUAGUUAGCACUCUGAAUUUCCUUCAAGAGCUUUUUCUUUGCAUUCAUAGCUUGGCUGUUUGGCACAAGAGGCCUAGUUUUAGGCCUGUCUUUGCUUUCAGGAUGCCUUCCUUACUAAGUUAAUCACUUUUUAGCUUUUGAUUUUAAGUGAGAGACGUGACAUUUCCUUUCAUUGAACACUUAGAGGCCAUUGGAGGGUUAUUAAUUAAUUAAUUGGAGGGUUACUAAUUAUUAAUUGGCCUAAUUUCAAUAUUGUGCCUCAGGGGAUAGGGAGGCCUGAAGAGAGGAAGAGAGAUGGGGGAACAGCUGGUCAGUGGAACAGUCAGGACACACAUAUUUAUCCAAUUUGCCAUCUUAUGUGCGUGUGCUUCGUGACAUCCCAAAAUAAUCACAGGAGUAACAUCAAAGAUCACUAAUCACAGAUCACUGUAACAGAUACUUAAGUUUGAGAAUUUUCAAAAAUUACCAAAUUGUAAUACAGAGAAAUGAAAUGAGCACAUGCUGUUGGAAAAGUGGCACCAAUAGAUUUGCUCAAGCUGCCACAGACCUUCAAUUUGUAAAUAAUGCAGUAUAUUUGUAAAGCACAAUGAAGUGAAACACAAUAAAAUGAGGUAUACCUGUACAGCUGAGUAGUCUGCCUCCAUACAAGAUAUCAUAUUAUACUUAUUUUUUCUCUAUAUACCCUUCCAGAGAUAUUUUAAACAUGCAAAUACUGCAUAUAUGUUUAUUACAAAACCUACCUUAAACACUUUGUUUCUUGUUUUUUCCCUCAUAAGUGUAAACAUGUCCUUUGUUCAUCAAAUAAAUUUCAAACAGUUUUUUUUCUCUAUUUUUCUUUUGAUUUCUGCGUGGGAAAAACACUGUGAACACAUAGAAAUGAUAAAUAUUUGUAGUGGUGAAUACCCUAAAUACCCUCACUUUAUCAUUACACAUUCUAUGCCUGUAAAAAAAUAUCACAUGUGCCCCAUAAAUAUGUACAAAUAUUAUCUACCAAAAA